rnacentral:rRNA from 1 species
CCUACGGGGGGCAGCAGUGAGGAAUAUUGGUCAAUGGACGAGAGUCUGAACCAGCCAAGUAGCGUGAAGGAUGACUGCCCUAUGGGUUGUAAACUUCUUUUAUAUGGGAAUAAAAUGUUCCACGUGUGGGAUUUUGUAUGUACCAUAUGAAUAAGGAUCGGCUAACUCCGUGCCAGCAGCCGCGGUAAUACGGAGGAUCCGAGCGUUAUCCGGAUUUAUUGGGUGUAAAGGGAGCGUAGGUGGAUUGUUAAGUCAGUUGUGAAAGUUUGCGGCUCAACCGUAAAAUUGCAGUUGAAACUGGCAGUCUUGAGUACAGUAGAGGUGGGCGGAAUGCGUGGUGUAGCGGUGAAAUGCUUAGAUAUCACGAAGAACUCCGAUUGCGAAGGCAGUUCACUGGACUGCAACUGACACUGAGGCUCGAAAGUGUGGGUAUCAAACAGGAUUAGAUACCCCGGUAGUC